rnacentral:lncRNA from 1 species
AAUUACAUUGGUAUGAAUCUGGGGAUUUUGGAGCUACUUUUAAAUGCAAUUUUGUAGGAUAUUGAGCCAUAAGACCUAGUGAGAGUCCUGAGUUUGCAGCUUUCUAGAAAUUAAGAUGGCAAGAUUUGGCAAAAUGGAAGCCAACUGAAAUUUUGAUAGGCCUACACAUUUUUGAAUACCUCAUAGAGAGAUGCAGUAUUCACAUUGUGUAUAAUAAUGCAGUCAGAAGGCAGCAGAAUUUGGUUUUUCUGCAUUCACAUAUGCCAGUCUGAACAACAGGCAUUAAGAAAAUAAGAGAAUAUUCAUCCUUUUCUGUCCUUUGUAAGUGACACAGGACAUUGAGAAUCACUGAUUCUUUUUCUGACUUUACCUCAGGGCUGGGCAUACACUCAAUUUAUGGUCCUUUUGCUCAGGCUCAUCCUGCACAGUUUCUAGCAUUUGGAAAAUGUUUCUCAUGGCAACAUCUACUAUCUGUGACUGCUGUUGGAGGGUGAGGAGCGAAAAAGGGAAGACACUGAUCGCCAUCUGUGGUUAACGUUAGUCUGUGUAGAAAGUACUCAGUAUUCUGCAUGGUUACCUACAGGACUUGUGAGCACCACUGCAUACCAGAAAGUGCGUUUUCUCUCAGGCUUUCUCCAAAGACAAAAGCUUUGGAACACCAGGCCUAAAGAAGCCAUCUGUCCUGAAUGUAAGGCCCAACAAGUGUCUUGAACAACACAUGAAAAACACUUGGGACAGAGUACCGACCUGACCCACAGAACUGUGAGUAAAAAUAAAUGCUUAUUGUUCUAUGCUACUGAUAUCGCUGAGUUUGUUAUAUGACCUUGUUGUGGCAGUAGUUGACUGGUACUAUUAUGUAAACAAAUGAUCUAUAUACACUUGUAU